GUGGGUAUAGCUCAGUGGAAGAGCACAUGCCGAGCAUGCAUGAGGUCCUGGGUUCAAACCCCAGUACCUCA
rnacentral:tRNA from 1 species